UGACAAAGCAUAUUCAGAACAAAAAGAACGAUUUCAAACAAGUAGGGUAUCAUAAUGCAAGACAGAAUACAAGAAUUCUCAAGAUACCAUAUCAUUAGAUACAAAAUCAUAAGUGUCAUGUCAUUCAAAACAUAUUUGGUUCAUAACAGAUGGAGCAUAUCAAUAGCGUACAAGAUGUUCCGGAACAUCUCAAUGGCAAAUAGGACAUUUCAGAACAUAUCAGUUCAUAGCAAAUGGAGCACAGAGUAAUUGGAGCAUAUCAAUAACGUACGAGAUGUUCCGG
rnacentral:lncRNA from 1 species